AUGAACAUGAUACCUUUCCAUAGAUGGUAUGCACGUGACGUCACGAUCCCAUGUAAACAAUAACAAACCGCUGGCUGGCUGUGGCAACCGCGAACGCCACAACAAUGGUUAAAUCAACUAAAUAUGAGAGGCAGGAAGGAAAGACGGCCUACACUUACGACUUUCGUGCUUUCUGCCCGUGCCGUCCCUGUCUCGUAUUCCUCUUUUUCCUGCUGGCUCCCAGCUACCAUCUAUAGUGGCAGAAAAAGCGAAAAUAUAUGCAUGAGACUGUUAAAGCAUAUAAAUCACAUUGACUCGACCAGAAAACAAACCGCAGCUCCUUGGGAGUUGACGACGUAAACACUGACAUGUGCACUGUUAAUACGUCGCCGAGACUUCAGCGGCGAGAGGAAUGGCGAGCAUGCAUUCUUGUCGAAAUGGUUGCAGGACCGCUUUUCUACUGAGGCUUGUCAAACUUUCCUAUACGAGGGAGAAGACCCGCGGUCGGCUGUUUGUCAAUUUGAAUAGACAUGCUACGACGGCUACUGCGCCCGACAAAGUAUCCUUGCCUGCCCAAACCUAGGACGGCUGCAACCCCCGCGGCCAUUGCCCCGGCUCGUACACCUGUGGGCAUGUUGGGCGCGACGAGACCUUCCCAAGACUGUGUUGAGGAGCUGAGGCGGGAGAGGGCCCGAUGCUCCUUCAACAUGGAGGAGUUAACAAAUCUCUUGGAUGGAGGGAAGCAGUGGACAUUUCGACGCAGAGAAAUUGAGCAGCUGAUGUGCAGUGACUCAGUUUUUGAGGAUGAGAUUCCUACCGAGUACCUGAGCCACGAAGAACUCUACGCUAACGACUUACGCAAGGUUACACACCUGCUCAGGAAGCUGACAGACCUAAACAUUUCCCAAAGAGAACUGAGCUCAACUAUGGCCCUUGAACUUCUGAGAGAUGGCAACCCUCUUGGCAUCCACAUGUUCAUGUUCUCCAAUGCACUGCAGUGGCUGGCAUCCCCUGAGCAGCAGCAGAAGUGGCUCACUAUGUUUGACAAGAACAAGAUAUUUGGAACAUAUGCACAGACUGAGAUGGGUCAUGGUACUUUCCUAAGAGGGCUGGAAACAACGGCAGCCUAUGAUUCAAAGACCCAGGAGUUUGUGCUCCACUCGCCCACCAUUACCUCAACAAAGUGGUGGCCUGGAGGAUGUGAGGCACUAGAAUAGAUAACUGCAUAAUGUGUGAAUGUUAUAUGCAUAAAACAUUUGUACUAGGAUGUAUGUAUCCUGAUACAAGUAAUACUUUUAAGUUUGGCUGUAAUUUCAUUUCGUAUUAUAAUCAGUAAUUAAUCACUUGUAUAUUUAUAUAUUUAGAAGUUUUAGCACUUUUCUUUCGUCCUCUCCUCCACCGAGUCAUCCGCCACUGGAACAUUCUUCCCUCAGAAGUAGUAAAUGCGAAUACCAUCAACUCCUUCAAAUAUAGAAUCGACCGUCAUUUCGCUGCGUCGGGAGUAAACUGAAUAACGAGGGGCUUCCAUCUGCUCCUCAAUAUCGAGGUGCUUUCAUCUGCUCACCAAGCCCCAAGUGGCGGUCGAGCAGAUUAAAUCACCCAAGCGGGCGACCUCGUAAUGAGCCAAUAGGCUUUCUGUUGCCUGCAUUUCCAUGUUUCCAUGUUUCCAUGUUUCCUUCUUUACCUAGA